rnacentral:rRNA from 1 species
UACAGAGGCCUCGAGCGUUAAUCGGAGUCACUGGGCUUAAAGGGUGCGUAGGCCGGUCCGCAAGUGCCUUGUGAAAUCCCACGGCUCAACCGUGGAAUGGCUCGGCAGACUGCGGGUCUUGAGGUCGGUAGGGGUCGCUGGAACUCUAGGUGGAGCGGUGAAAUGCGUAGAUAUCUAGAGGAACGCCAAAGGUGAAGACAAGCGACUGGGCCGAUUCUGACGCUGAGGCACGAAAGCGUGGGGAGCGAACGGG